GUGCUAUGCCAACACUCACCUAAUGGUGCUAUCACAACACUAAGAGUGCAGUCGUAACUGCUACGUGUUACUAGAACAAUAAAGGGGGUGAAGCAGCACACUUGUACUGAUGACGGAACAAUCGGCCCUGUGAGGAACUUUCCAAGAAAAAAUUAGUGCACUUUUCAAGUAUACCGGCAAUAUUUUAGCUAUUCAGUAUUUAUACUGAACUUAUGUGAUGAACCAGUACUAGUUAUCAUUAUUAGUUACUGUAACUAUGUGUUUGAAGUUGCAACAUCUAUUGAGGACUAGACUAUGUGCAUGUCACGCUAACGGACAAAUUAAUGCCCAACAAUAAUUAUUAACAAUUCAA